rnacentral:rRNA from 1 species
UACGGAGGGGGCAAGCGUUGUUCGGAAUUACUGGGCGUAAAGGGCGCGCAGGCGGCUGCUCAAGUCAGGCGUGAAAGGCCUGGGCUCAACCCGGGAAUUGCGCUUGAGACUGGGCUGGCUUGAGUGCGGGAGAGGAUGGUGGAAUUCCCAGUGUAGAGGUGAAAUUCGUAGAGAUGUGGAGGAACACCGAUGGCGAAGGCAGCCCCCUGGGUCAAGAUUGACGCUCAUGCACGAAAGCGUGGGGAGCAAACGAGG